rnacentral:lncRNA from 1 species
GGGCAUGGUAACAAACUAUACUAUUUUAUUUAAAGCCACCAAAUAUAAAUUUUGAAAAUUCUUUUCUACCCAUAAGUUUAUUCAACGAUUUAUGAAUCCUUUAGUAAAAGGUGUGGUCUCCCACCUAUGCUUCCAUGUAUUUUAAUGAAAAAUAUCAUAGGAUAUUUAUGUUGGGUCCCCCUUAAUUAUUUUUGGUGUCUAGCCCUAAUUGAAACACACAAACACACACCAUUUGAUAUAUAGACAAAUACAAAUAUGUAUUUUGCAAUUUGCAUGACCAAAUCACACGCAACACUUUGUUCAACUUGAUGAAUGACAAUGGACCUUCAUAAACUUAAUUAAAGAUGG